rnacentral:rRNA from 1 species
AUUGAACGCUGGCGGCAGGCCUAACACAUGCAAGUCGAACGAGUGGCGGACGGGUGAGUAAUGUAUGGGAAACUGCCUGAUGGAGGGGGAUAACUACUGGAAACGAUAGCUAAUACCGCAUACCAUCAGAUGGGCCCAGAUGGGAUUAGCUAGUUGGGGGGGUAAAGGCUCACCAAGGCGACGAUCCCUAGCUGGUCUGAGAGGAUGAUCAGCCACACUGGAACUUAGACACGGUCCAGACUCCUACGUGAGGCAGCAGUGGGGAAUAUUGCACAAUGGACGCAAGCCUGAUACAGCCAUGCCGCGUGAAUGAAGAAGGCCUUCGGGUUGUAAAGUACUUUCAGCGGGGAGGCGUUACCCAAAGAAGAAGCACCGGCUAACUCCGUGCCAGCCGCCGCGGUAAUUC